rnacentral:rRNA from 1 species
AGAGUUUGAUCAUGGCUCAGGACGAACGCUGGCGGCGCGCCUAACACAUGCAAGUCGAACGGAGCUUAAAGAGCUUGCUUUUUAAGCUUAGUGGCGAACGGGUGAGUAACGCGUGAGUAACCUGCCCUAGAGUGGGGGACAACAGUUGGAAACGACUGCUAAUACCGCAUAAGCCCACGGUGCCGCAUGACACUGAGGGAAAAGGAUUUAUUCGCUUUAGGAUGGACUCGCGUCCAAUUAGCUAGUUGGUGAGGUAACGGCCCACCAAGGCGACGAUUGGUAGCCGGACUGAGAGGUUGAACGGCCACAUUGGGACUGAGACACGGCCCAGACUCCUACGGGAGGCAGCAGUGGGGGAUAUUGCACAAUGGGGGAAACCCUGAUGCAGCGACGCCGCGUGGAGGAAGAAGGUUUUCGGAUUGUAAACUCCUGUCGUUAGGGACGAUAAUGACGGUACCUAACAAGAAAGCACCGGCUAACUACGUGCCAGCAGCCGCGGUAAAACGUAGGGUGCAAGCGUUGUCCGGAAUUACUGGGUGUAAAGGGAGCGCAGGCGGGAAGACAAGUUGGAAGUGAAAACCAUGGGCUCAACCCAUGAAUUGCUUUCAAAACUGUUUUUCUUGAGUAGUGCAGAGGUAGAUGGAAUUCCCGGUGUAGCGGUGGAAUGCGUAGAUAUCGGGAGGAACACCAGUGGCGAAGGCGGUCUACUGGGCACCAACUGACGCUGAGGCUCGAAAGCAUGGGUAGCAAACAGGAUUAGAUACCCUGGUAGU